GCGGCAAGAGCUUCUCUAUAUACUAUAGCUGAGCUGCAGAACUGUUUUGCAAAGAAGUUGCAUGCAGCCAUGGAACCUUCCACUAAAAACAAGAGACAGGAGGAAAAAGAAAAAACAAGGUUGUUGAAAGAUACAACGGAGUAAAACUGAGUGUAUUUGGGAGAGAAACCAGGCCAUGCUUCCACUUGAGAUACCAGCAUUGAAACUAAGUUCAAUUUUUCGGUUUUUUCACAAGAAGAGCCGGAACAAGCAUGAGUGUGUGUGUGGGUGUGUGUAUGUGCGCUUGUGCCCCCAAUUGUGUGCGUGCGUGCGUGCGUGUGUGUGUGUGUGUGUCGUUCAUGUGUGUAGUGUGUGAGUGUGUGUGCAUGUGUGUGUGUGCCCCUGUGUGUGCGUGUGCGUGUGCCCCCUGAGUAUGCGCGUGUGUGCCCCUAUGUGUGUGUGCGUGUGCGUGUGUGUGUGUAUGUGUGUGUUGUGUGCCCCCUGUGUGUGUGUGUGUUUGUUUGCCCUGUGUGUGCGUGUGUGUGUGUGAGUGCCCCUGUGUGUGUGUGUGUGUGUGUGCUCCUGUGUGUGUGUGUGUGUGCCCCUAUGUGUGUGUGUGUGUGUGCCCCCUGUGUUCGUGUGUAUACGCACACACACUGUGUGUGGUUUGUGUGUUUGUGCCCCUGUGUGUGCGUGCGUGUGUGUGUGUGUGUGGGGGUUGUGUGUGUGUGUGUGUGCCCUGUGUGUACAUGUGUGUGUGCCCUGUGUGUGUGUAUGUGUGUGCGUGUGUGUGUGUGUGUACCUCUGUGUGCCUCUUGUGUGCCCCCUGUGUUGUGUGCCCCCUGUUUAUAUAUAUAUAUAUAUAUGUAUGAGUGUGUGGUGUGUGCCCCUGGUGUGUGCAUGUGAGUGUGUGUGUGUGCGUGUGCGUGUGUGUGCCCCUGUGUGUGUGUAUGUGUGUUUGUGCACACACACUACCCACACACACACACCACACACACACUCAACAUACAGGGGACACACACACACACACACACACACACCCGCGCACACACUGGGGGCAUGUUUGUGUGUGUGUGUGCCCUGUGGCCUGUGGUGUGUGUGUGUAUGUGCGUGUGUGUGUGUGUGUACCUCGUGUGCCCCCCGUGAUGUGUGCCCCCUGUUUGUAUAUAUGUGUAUGUGCGUGUGUGGUGUGUGCAUGUGAGUGCGUGUGCGUGUGCGUGUGUGUGUGUGUGUUCCCCCUGUGUGUGUGUGUGUGUGUGUGUGUGUGUGCGUGAGUGUGUGUGCCCCCUCUGUGUGCGCGUGGUUGUGUGUGUGUGUGUGGUGUGUGUGUUUGUGCCCCCUGAUGUGUGCAUGUGAGUGUGUGUGUGUGUGUGUGUGGUGUGUGUGUUUGUGCUCCCUGAUGUGUGCAUGUGAGUGUUUGUGUGUGUGUGUGUGUGUGCCCCCUGUGUGUGCGUGCGUGUGUGUGUGGUGUGUGUGUGUGUGUGUGUGUGCCCUGCGUGUGUGCGUGUUUGUUUCCCCCUCUGUGUGUGUGUGUGAUGCCCUCGUGUGUGUGUGUGUGCUUGUGCGUGUGUGUGUUGUGUGUGCCCCCUCUGGUGUGCGUGUAUGUGUGUGUGUGUGAGUGUGUGAGUGUGUGUGCGUGUGCGUGCGUGUGUGCCCCUGAGACUUCUUAUACUUCUUAUCCAUAAUUGUGUGCUCCUGUGUGUGUGUAUGUGUGUGUGUGUGUGUGUGUGCCCUUGUGUGCGUUGCGUGUGUGUGUUGUGUGUGCCCCUCUCUGGUGUGCAGGGGCGUAGCCAGACUUUUGACAUAGGGGUUUCCUUUGAAAAACCAGCGGCGCCGCUUAGUCACGCCCACUUCUGGUGCCACACCCUCUUGAUUGGGCACACCUACUGGUUACACCUACUGCUCAUUGUUUGUAAUGACUUUUUUUACAUGUUUGUGAGAAGCUAGCUAGACUAGCUAGUCUAGCUAGCUAUAGACUAUGGGGCGUUUGGUGGGCAAAAAAUUGAUAGCUAGUAUUCUCUGAUGUGGUAAAACAGUGACUGAUUCUAUUACAUCGAUCGAUCAAUCUGACAAUCCGUCGAAGUCUAUGUGAUUCAGUCAAUAGCCAUACAACUGCAAUUCGACCUUUUCCAUACUAUGUUGCCACAUAUCUCGAACCGGAAUGAGAAUUAGAUCUAGAUAGAAUAGAACUAAGAUUGCACAUGCGCAUUUGUAGCACUGCCUCGUGUAUAAAAAUUUUUAUGAUGGCUGAGAGUCCAGGCCAGGCAGGAUCCAGUGGAGCUUGCCCUUCUGAUUUUGUCACAUGGGUGAAGUUGCAAGGAGGAGAAGAAGACAUUAUUAGAAUUCUUCAUUAUCAUGGAUUUAGAUCCACUAUGUCCCUGAGUAAUUUGGAUAUGAGCUCUAGUGAAUGCAGUCAACUACUGGAAGAGCUGAACUGUGGCCAGCGAUGUCUGUUGCGUGGCCUCAUUCAAUCUGCAAAAUCUGGUAUGAAUAAGGCCGAAGCUUAUACUACAAGUGAACAACAAGCCUCUCAACUCUCAUCAAAAACUCAUAAUAUACGCGAAAAACUCGGCAAAUUGUUUGGGACAAAGUCGGGUACUGAUUCUGCAAAUAGUAAGGGUAGUGAUAAUGAGUUUCAGCCUACACCAAAUAUUGGCGCUCGUCCCCGUUCAAAGCGUCCUAACAAAGGGAAGCAAAGGGAAGCAAAGGGAAGCAACCAAUGAAAUCUUGCAAGAAAAAGGUGAAAGAGAUACGAAUGAAAGUAGUGGGACUAACUAUGCCUCGUCAGAACACUCCUGUUGGUUCAGAAAGAGACAAAUACACGCGUUCGAUAUGGAUCCGAGGUAGUGCUUCCGCUUCUGAAAUUGCAGUCAAAAUAAAGGAGAGUUUUUGCUGGUCUGAUGCGUGGGAUGUGUCCUUUCAGUAUGUAAAUGGGCGAUACAUGCGUCCAGCAAGUCUCGAUGAUGUUGAGAAUGCUACUAGCUGGGAUGCUGAAACAGUGAGGGCUCUCAUGGGCAGUGGAUGUCUCUAUGUAUUGCGGACGGCUGUGAAGCGCAGUGCUACACCUGUCAAAGAAGACACUGAAUCUGCGGAUGAAUGUGAUGAUCGAAUGCUUUGCUUAGCUGAUAUGUUCCCUAGUGUGAGCAGGGAAAAUAUUGAAGGUGUCUUUAAGGAGCUUGGAUUUUCUGGUGCUGUCGAUAAACUACUAGGAGUCCCUGGUGUUGAUGUCUCGACGAGUUGUGGGCACUCUCCAGGGGCCAGCGAGUACCUUUCCAGUACCUCAUUUGGUGCUGCCUCAGGGUCAAGCUCACAUGAUCCAAUUGUCAUCCAACCUCACUCUCUCAGUCAUCUACUACGAUCUCAUGCUCAGAAGACAAUUGGAAUUGAACGAGUAUACAAACUUUGUGUCGACCGAUCCUCAGAUGACGUUCUAUGGCAAACAGCAAUUGCUUUUUAUAAAGGCAUAAAGGCGCAAAGUCGAAGCCUCAAAAAUUGCAACGGGAAUUUGUCGUGGAAUAUGUUGGAGAAGUAGGAGUUGAUUCUGGAGCUCUUAGGAAAGAGUUUUUCGAGGCUGUAAUCAUCGAGGCUAAUAAGCGAAUGUUUGAAGGAGAGUCAGAUAGACGUGUACCAAAGAAAGACUGGGGCCUAGAACUCAUGUUUGAAAUGUGCGGAAUGAUGAUUGGUCACUCCAUUCUUCAAGAAGGACCUGGGCUUCCCUGUCUUAGUGUCUGUGUAUAUGACUACAUGGUGCACGGUGAAGUUGACCAGUGCUAUCCAGUGAAAGAAGAUAUACCACUCAACAUUUCUUCACACGAGCUAAUUACCUUCAUUGAAGAGAUGGCUACUGCUUUGAACGAAGAUCAGAUUGAUGAAAUUCUUGACAAGCCUGCAAAUACAUACAUUUUGAAUGGGUGUGGUUGGAGCCUCAUCGAGCCUAUCACCCCAAGCAACAAGCACCAUUUUCUCCAGCAUUUGAUGCUUGAUGAAGUAAUUGUGAAGCGUGAGCGAAACUUGAAAGCCUUUGUGCGUGGCCUGAAAGUACUUGGUAUCACAGAUAUGAUCAGAAGGCAUCCAGCUAUGACCAAGAAGUUAUUUGUGACCGAGAAUGUUCUGAUGACUCCAGAUACUUUCAUGAAGCUUGUAGGCUCAAUUCAACCAAAGAAAACACGGGAGCUUCAAGCGUUUGGAUUCUUUAAGGAUUUUGUUUCAUCUCUAGGAGAUUCUGAACUUCGUUGCGUUCUGAAAUUCAUAACUGGGGCGUCUGCCAUUCCCCCAAUGGGUUUGGAGUUUCCGAUUGAAUUGACCUAGAAAGAAACACUCCCGAAAGCACAGGCUUGCUUCUCAAAGCUCUACUUACCUACUGUUCACGAUUCUAAUCAUGACUUUGUAGACGCUUUCCGCAAAGCUCUAGUCUUUGGAUUCGGAUAUGGACUUGCGUGAAACAUCACUGAAACAACAAACUUCCCAAAGCUUAAUUACUUAUACCUAUACUACUCAUUCUCAUUUUCAUAAGCAUUGCUAUUAUAUGCUAUUCUUGUCACAACUGUCGAUUCAAUUUCAAGUGAUCAACCAUGUCAUGUUCUUCAAUAUCAUGAAAAAAUUAUUAAUUAUCAAUUA